UAGUGGCGAACGGGUGAGUAACACGUGGGCAAUCUGCCCUUCACUCUGGGACAAGCCCUGGAAACGGGGUCUAAUACCGGAUACGASCUGWSRAGGCAUCUUGWSGRSUGGAAAGCUCCGGCGGUGAAGGAUGAGCCCGCGGCCUAUCAGCUUGUUGGUGGGGUAACGGCCCACCAAGGCGACGACGGGUAGCCGGCCUGAGAGGGCGACCGGCCACACUGGGACUGAGACACGGCCCAGACUCCUACGGGAGGCAGCAGUGGGGAAUAUUGCACAAUGGGCGAAAGCCUGAUGCAGCGACGCCGCGUGAGGGAUGACGGCCUUCGGGUUGUAAACCUCUUUCAGCAGGGAAGAAGCGAAAGUGACGGUACCUGCAGAAGAAGCGCCGGCUAACUACGUGCCAGCAGCCGCGGUAAUACGUAGGGCGCAAGCGUUGUCCGGAAUUAUUGGGCGUAAAGAGCUCGUAGGCGGCUUGUCACGUCGGGUGUGAAAGCCCGGGGCUUAACCCCGGGUCUGCAUCCGAUACGGGCAGGCUAGAGUGUGGUAGGGGAGAUCGGAAUUCCU
rnacentral:rRNA from 1 species